rnacentral:misc_RNA from 1 species
CGUGCAUUCCUCUUCAGUUAUUGGCACAAGAGCCUUUUUUGCCUUGGCCAAGUCGCCAGUUUCCUGUGCUGUAUACCUACAUCGAUGGAAUUUUUUGGGCAAUCUAUACCAAGCUUUCCCACUGCUGCCCGUUUACACGGUGCGGCAUCGGGAAAACCUUAAAGCGAAAUUCGUGUUUCGAAUUGCAUAUAAAUUGCUAUGCAGUCUCGACCCAUGAGCGUAGCUUGAUGUCGGGGAUUCAGAAAACACUGCGGGUAAGGGUCAUAUGUCCCUCUAUUUGCCCACAAAUUGGCAUUACAUGCCCCAUUCGAUUGACUGUCGAUGUCUCACAGAUGUUUUACAUCUUGCGACUCGAUGUCUCUGAGGAAUGCUACCUGGUUGAUCCUGCA